rnacentral:rRNA from 1 species
AUUGAACGCUGGCGGCAGGCCUAACACAUGCAAGUCGAACGAGUGGCGGACGGGUGAGUAAUGUCUGGGAAACUGCCUGAUGGAGGGGGAUAACUACUGGAAACGGUAGCUAAUACCGCAUACCAUCGGAUGUGCCCAGAUGGGAUUAGCUAGUAGGUGGGGGAAAGGCUCACCUAGGCGACGAUCCCUAGCUGGUCGGAGAGGAUGACCAGCCACACUGGAAUGGAGAAACGGUCCAGAAUCCGACGGGAGGCAGCAGUGGGUAAUAUUGCACAAUGGGCGCAAGCCUGAUGCAGCCAGGCCGCGGGUAUGAAGAAGGACUUCGGGUUGUAAAGUACUUUCAGCGGGGAGGCGUUACCCGCAGAAGAAGCACCGGCUAACUCCGUGCCAGCAGCCGCGGUAAUAC